GUGGGGCAGAAAAGGCGGUUUCAGCGCCCCCUGCCAGUCACAGUGCACAGUGCAGGAUGAUUCACCUCAUGGUCAGCAUAAGCCCAGGGUCUCACUCUGUCCCCCAGGAUGAAGUGCAGUGGUGCAAUCACAGUUCACUGCAGCCUCAACCUCCCGGACCCAAGUGAUCCUCCCAUCUCAGCUUUCAAGUACCUGCGAAUCUGGCUGCUCCACUGUUGGGUGCAUAUGUAUUCAGGAUAAGAUCUUGCAUCCCGAACAUACAAGUAAUUCCUGAGGAGUUGGCGGAGCCUCUGCUGACUCCAAGCUGAGCAUCCGAGAACUUCUGGCCCAACAGCACUCAUCAGGAAUCAGUGCAGACUAUUUCUCCCUGGAAGCAGAGGGUCCGAAAAGUUCUGACUAGGCAAAGAGUGACAGUGUGCAUACCAAUUGAAGUUUCCCUCUCCAGCCUGUGCUGACUCAGCUGCCCUCCCUCUCUGCAACCCCGGUAGCAUCUGCCAGACUCCCCUGCACCCUGAGCAGUGGCUUCAGUGUUGGUGACUGUGGGAUACACUGGAGAUGGCAGAAGCCAGGGAGCCCUCCCCAGCAUCUCCUGAGCUACCACUCGCAUUCAAAUAAGCACCAGGGCUCCAGCGUCCCCAGCCCCUUCUUUGGAACCAAAGAUGCCCCUGAAAACGCAGGGAUUCUUCACGUCUCUGGGCCCAGCUAGAGGACAAGGCUACUACUGUAUGCCUGGACCAGUGAUGCUUCUCACAGCGACACAGGCAGGCGGGGAAGUGGGACAAAACCUGCUGGCCCCCCAGAUGCUGGCCCGUCUCUUACUUUGUUGCUGUUAAAAUGUAUCUACACCACUGAUACCGCUUUACAAAUUCAGAAUUUUUUUCCAGUUAAUUUUUGUUUGUUUACUAAGUAUGAAGACUCAAAUGACCAAAACACUUUUCAAACCAACACAACUAUACACAGACAUAAUCUCAGAGGAAUUUCUGCUGCUACAUUACCUGUGGCUCUAGAACUCACAUCCAGAGGGCAGCCUAUAAGGAAUUGUGUCCAGUCUGCAAGUGAGCAGACCUGUCAUCCUCCCCCUAGGAGGCUACCUCUUGCCCCAGAGACUCCAUGGCGGCCCCAAGGAGACCCCUGCUCUCCCUCCAGGGACUGUAGCGGAGACGGCACCAGGCCUUGUUCAGAACAUUCUGGGAAGUGCAUCACUCAAGAUUACAAUUCAGUUGUGGGGAAAUUGUCACUGCAGGGGUUAAAAAUGACAGCUUCUUCGGGUCUUGCAAAGUAGCUUUGUUACUUGUAACAGACGUAUACAUAGAACCUUUGUACAACCUAGAAUGACUUUUUCCAAAGACUGUUACCUAUUUCAAGGUAGAAUCGUUGGAACUUACUGAACAACAGUGGAAAACACAACUACACAGCCUAAUUGAGGGGAGAGGGCUACUGUCUACUUAUUGGUAACUGGACAUGGGUAAAAGGACAAGGUCUAUCAUCUUUUUAGGGACCUGUUUUAUAUGCCCCAACCCUGUCCCCAUCUUUUUUUUUUUAAUGUCCUUAAAAUAGGAACAACAAAAAACUAGGGUUGUAGAAUUAUAAAAUUGCUUCAACCUUAGAACCUUAAGUAGGAGGCCCUCAAAUGGACUUAUGUUAGUCCUUAGGGAGUCAAUGUGUGUGUUGCUGCUUCUUUACAGUUCAGUUGGAGCCCCGAGAGUGCCAAUGUUUUCCCCACACCUCUUAGAUGCCUUCCGCUUCCCAAACCCCAGAAGAGGUGGGCACCUGAGUGGGGAAUCUCAGGUGACUUAGUUUGCCAGUGCCUACUCUAUUGAAGAAUGGGGUUUUCAUGCUCGAGAAGAAACUCGUGGAAGGGCGUGUUUCCCAUCACAGGUUCACAUACUGAUUGUUUUUGUUGAAUUUCCUUGUGCGACUUAUGCCAAGUAAUUAUGAAGAUUUUUUGUUUCGUUUUGUUUUCUUGCUGAAUAUUUCAUGAAGGCUACGAAGUUAGAACAGGCACGUCCUGGGUGAGAAAGCUUUAAUUUAUCUACCUCAUUUAUUUUUUAUUUUUUGUAGCCAUAUUGUCUAUUUUCCUAUUUCAAGACCGCUGAAGUAUUCCCAGGCCCUGUCUAAAACCUAAGAGUUGAUGUAUUGGUGGGAAGAGGUGAACGUUCAAGAUGAUUUUGUGAUGCCUUUUUUUUGUCGUUUCCUUUUGUAUAUGUGAUAUUGAGCAAACGAAACAUUGCUCUUCGUUUAACAAGAAAGGUUUAACAAGAAAGAAAGAAAAAAACUCUAACUUCUGGGAGAAAAGUCUUUCCUCUGUAUGUGGAAGGUCCUGACGGAAAUAUGCAUCCAAGACGAUUAGCCAAAGUGUUGUCCCUUCAUCGUUGCACCUGACAUUAGGAUUCCGCCCCGCUCUUUUUUUUUUGCCAACUUGUGCCUUUCCUUCUGGAAUUGAAGUGAACAUGAUAAUAGUACCUGUUUAUACUGUGAAGUGGAUAUUGUUACAGAAAGCACACCAGUGGCUUUCUCACUGUUGAGCUAAUAAUGCCUUGUGAAUGUAUGAUCUACGGAGAAACCCCUGUAGUUGUACCUGCUGAUGCUGUCUGUCUGUUGGAAAAUAAAUUUUGAAUUUUUUUUUCUCAAAAAAAAAA